rnacentral:rRNA from 1 species
UACGUAGGGGGCUAGCGUUGUCCGGAAUCACUGGGCGUAAAGCGCACGUAGGCGGAUUGCUAAGUCAGGGGUGAAAUCCUGGAGCUCAACUCCAGAACUGCCUUUGAUACUGGCGAUCUUGAGUCCGGGAGAGGUGAGUGGAACUGCGAGUGUAGAGGUGAAAUUCGUAGAUAUUCGCAAGAACACCAGUGGCGAAGGCGGCUCACUGGCCCGGUACUGACGCUGAGGUGCGAAAGCGUGGGGAGCAAACAGG